rnacentral:rRNA from 1 species
GCGGGUGAGUAAUACAUCGGAACGUAUCCUGGAGUGGGGGAUAGCCCGGCGAAAGCCGGAUUAAUACCGCAUACGCUCUGAGGAGGAAAGCGGGGGACCUUCGGGCCUCGCGCUCAAGGGGCGGCCGAUGGCGGAUUAGGUAGUUGGUGGGGUAAAGGCCUACCAAGCCGACGAUCCGUAGCUGGUCUGAGAGGACGACCAGCCACACUGGGACUGAGACACGGCCCAGACUCCUACGGGAGGCAGCAGUGGGGAAUUUUGGACAAUGGGGGCAACCCUGAUCCAGCAAUGCCGCGUGUGUGAAGAAGGCCUUCGGGUUGUAAAGCACUUUUGUCCGGAAAGAAAUCAUCGGGGCCAAUACCCCUGGUGGAUGACGGUACCGGAAGAAUAAGCACCGGCUAACUACGUGCCAGCAGCCGCGGUAAUACGUAGGGUGCGAGCGUUAAUCGGAAUUACUGGGCGUAAAGCGUGCGCAGGCGGUGCUGUAAGACCGAUGUGAAAUCCCCGGGCUUAACCUGGGAACUGCAUUGGUGACUGCAGCGCUGGAGUAUGGCAGAGGGGGGUGGAAUUCCACGU